AUGAACACCUCCUGACCGGGGCAGCACACAUCCUCCGACAACAAAGACAGAGGCCAGUCACGGUACUUAGGUGAUUUAUAUCCUGGUGCACAUACCCAUAGCUUUGUUGCUAAAGUAUGCUGCUAAAUGCAGUAGGCUGCCGUUUCGUGGUGCUAUUCACCGUCACAGGUUGCCAAUAACCAGACCUAUCAAGGAAACCACGGCAGUACUGUAUUUUCUUUGUCAAACUGUCCAUGGCUGUCUCAGAGGAUGUGCUGUUCCAUCUUCUUCCAAACGUGUUCACCGGGAGCUGCCAGUCAGCAGGGGAGAGUCAGCAUCUGCAUCGAAGCCGUUACCAGGGGGUACGGUGGAGGGAGAUGAUGCCUCUUAUGCUAGUGGUAGCAUGCGGUAAUGCUUAUGGUGGACGUAUCACUAUGGCAAGAUGCUGUCAAUCAACCAUACCAAUCUGACCCAGAAUCAGACCCAGAAGGAGAGGCUCCUGAGGAAGCACAGACUGUGUCGCAGGAAGUUUCAGAAUGGGAAAAAAUGUGAUCCCUCAAGAAUCAGUGUGCAGCCUGGUGGAACUGCUGCAAACAUGGUACAACCACCACUUCAGCCAGCCGCCCAGUGAACGUGGGGGACCUCAAGACAGCCGGAACUACAGACCAGCCAGUAAUCACAGAGAAACUUAUGACAUUCACAUCUAUUGCUGAGUUUGGUUUAUAAACAUCUCCAGUAUCUGAUGCUGAGUCCCCUUUAGAUGACUCCGACCUUGAUGAAAAUUACAACCCUACGAAAAGACAAGCAGGAAGAGUCUGAAAGCUCUAGCAACAGUAGCCCCUUUCACACAGAGACUGCACAUUAUCACCACAGCGGUGGUUCGCCAAUUCUCCGCUGUUCGUCAUUAACACGGAACGAAGCAUCUCCGCCUUAAAGAUGAACCGCUGUGCAAUUCACACAGAAAGCCGGCACUGCAGCCCCUAAAGAAGCAUGACAGUACGCAUCAUGAUGAUGACGCGUGUUUUCAAGGUGUUUCCUCAGUGUCCUCCUGUCAAUUAAAACCUGUGGAUAGUUUAUAAUCA